rnacentral:lncRNA from 1 species
CUUUAUUCAGUCCUCUGUCUCCAGCUUCCAUCAAAACAGCCACCUCAUCACCUGGUGACAAGGACACUGAGCAUAUGGAUGACAUCUUUGACAUUAUUUUUCAGACUGGAGAAAUCUCCAACUUCAAACCAGCACCAGAUCCCCACCUGGACCAUCUAAAUCCCAGCUCCCCUGCUCCCUCCCCUCCUCCUUCCCCACUCCAGCUGGUACUAUCACCUCCUAC